rnacentral:rRNA from 1 species
GACGAACGCUGGCGGCGUGCCUAAUACAUGCAAGUAGAACGCUGAAGGAGGACCUUCCUUCUCUGGAUGAGUUGCGCACGGGUGUGUCACGCGUAUGUAACCUGCCUGGUAGCGGGGUAUAACUAUUGGAAACGAUAUCUUAUACCGCAUAAGAUUAGAUGUUGCAUUACUUUUUCUUAAAAGGUUCAUUUUCAUCACUACCAUAUGGACCUGCGUUGUAUUAGCUGGUUGGUUAGGUAACGGCUCACCAAGGCAACGAUACAUAGCCGACCUGAGAGGGGGAUCGGCCACACUGGGAGUGAGACACGGACAAGACGACUGAGGGAGGGAGCAGUAGGGAAUCUUAGGCAAUGGACGGAAGUAUGACCGAGCAACGCCGCGUGAGUGAAGAAGGUGUUCGGAUAGUAAAGAUCGGUUGUAAGAGAAGAACGAGUGUGAGAGGGGAAAGAGCACACGGGAAGGGAAUCUUACAAGAAAGGGAGGGCAAACUAGGG